UCGCGGUCCCGGAGCGGCGCUGACAGCCCGACUGCAGGAGCGGGUGGCGGAGCUGGAGCGGCAGAUCGGAGAAGCGGAGCAGGAGAUGGCGCGGUGCCUGCGGGAAUAUCCCGCGCUGCUGCGGCUGCGGAUGGCGCUGGACGCGGAGAUCGCCGCGUAUCGGGAGAUGCUGGAGGGGGAGGAGCUGCGCCUGGGUGCCGUGGUUCCGCCGUGACGGGGCGCCCACCCCUUUGCCGGGGACCCGGGACCGCCGGGACUCCCCGGAUUCCCGGCCCCGGGCCGCUGCUCUGCGGGACCCUCUGAGCCCCCCGCCCCUCUGGAGCAUCCUCUGCUCCCGAGCCACGGGACCCCCGGACUCCUGGAUCCCGGAGCUUCUGGACCCCUCACGGGACCCCUGGGCUCCGCAGAUGCCCCCGGGGGGCUCCCGCUCCGCAGCAGGGCAGUGCCCCGGGCCUCACACUCUCACCAGCCUCCCCAGAGCGGCAGCAGGGCGCAGCCCCGGCCCUGGCCCACGCGGGAGCACCUCAAUAAACGCCCCGUGGCAUUACCCAGC